rnacentral:rRNA from 1 species
GGCUCCUUGUAAAAAAGAAAUAAGGAGUCGGACCUGCCCAGUGAAUAUUUCAACGGCCGCGGUACUCUGACCGUGCAAAGGUAGCAUAAUCAUUUGCCUUAUAAUUGAAGGCUAGUAUGAAUGGUUUGACGAGAAUAUAACUGUCUCUAUAUAAUUGAUUAGAAUUUUAUCUAUAGGUGAAGAAGCCUAUAUUUAAUUAAUAGACAAGAAGACCCUAUCGAGCUUUAAAUAAUUUAAUAGAAAAGUAAAUUAAUAAAGUUAAAAAAUAAUCUAUUAAAAAUUUUAGUUGGGGCGACUAAGGAACAAAAAAAGCUUCCUUUAUUAUAAAAAUUUUACAAAAAUUGAUCCAAAAAUUUUGAUUAAAGGAAUUAGUUACCGUAGGGAUAACAGCAUUAUCUUUUUUAAGAGCUCAUAUCGAAAAAAAGGUUUGUGACCUCGAUGUUGGACCAGAAUAUCCUAAAGAUGUAGCAGUCUUUAAAGGUUGGUCUGUUCGACCAUUAAAAUUCUACG